rnacentral:rRNA from 1 species
AUGGCUGCAGCCACGGCGUGCUCCGAUCACUGCCCGUUGGUCUUAGCGCCAUGCGAAGCUCCGAUCCGUCGUGCUCACUUCAGAUUUGAAUCUUUCUGGCCAAAGUUCCCGCGCUUUCACAUUACCGUAGAGCGCGCCUGGAGCAGGCCGGUUCAGCAGCGUUGCGCGUUUGCGUGUCUGCAGGUCAAGCUUACCAGGGUGGCGCAUGAUCUGAAGAUCUGGAGCAGAUCGUUGUUCAGCGACGCCAAGACCCAAUUCCAUAUAGCCAGUGAGGUCAUCCUUCGUCUUGACGUGGCGCAGGAGACUCGAACACUGUCAGUUGCAGAGUUCAACCUGUGCAAACUACUCAAGAUCAGGCUGGUGGGGCUGGCGGCAAUCGAGCGGGCAAGAAGGAGGCAAGCAUCCAGGGUUCUUUGGCUGCGAGCAGGCGACGCCAGCACGAAGUUCUUCCACGCCAAAUGUUGUUCCCGAAGGCGCAAAAACUUCAUCCAUUCAAUCCAGAGCGACGAUCGCUGUGCCAUGGCGCAUGGAGACAAGGAACAGCUGAUACACGGUCACUUCAGCAGCAUGAUGGCAGCAGGCGCGGGACGACGCGUCACUCUGAGCUGGAGAGCGCUGCAGCUGCCAAGGGUUGAAGCGGCAGGGCUGGACAAUCCAUUCACAGAGGAAGAAGUC